rnacentral:rRNA from 1 species
AUUGAACGCUGGCGGCAUGCUUUACACAUGCAAGUCGAACGGCAGCGCGGGCUUCGGCCUGGCGGCGAGUGGCGAACGGGUGAGUAAUGCAUCGGAACGUGCCCAGUAGUGGGGGAUAGCCCGGCGAAAGCCGGAUUAAUACCGCAUACGACCUGAGGGUGAAAGCGGGGACCGAAAGGCCUCGCGCUAUUGGAGCGGCCGAUGUCGGAUUAGCUAGUUGGUGGGGUAAAGGCUUACCAAGGCGACGAUCCGUAGCUGGUCUGAGAGGACGACCAGCCACACUGGGACUGAGACACGGCCCAGACUCCUACGGGAGGCAGCAGUGGGGAAUUUUGGACAAUGGGGGCAACCCUGAUCCAGCCAUGCCGCGUGCGGGAAGAAGGCCUUCGGGUUGUAAACCGCUUUUGUUCGGGAAGAAAUCCUCUGGGCUAAUACCCCGGGGGGAUGACGGUACCGGAAGAAUAAGCACCGGCUAACUACG